AAGUCGUAACAAGGUUUCCGUAGGUGAACCUGCGGAAGGAUCAUUAGUAAAAGGAAAAGGAAAGGGAAGGUACUUCAAAACCUUUUCAAACUUUUUCCAAAAUCCAGUAUUCACCCCCAAGUUCCUAAAAAUUUUAAGAAAAACUUGCAAAAAAGACCAUUCACAAACGGAUGGCGUCUAAUGCAAAAAGAAAACUUUCAACAACGGAUCUCUUGGCUCUC
rnacentral:misc_RNA from 1 species